GACGAACGCUGGCGGCGUGCUUAACACAUGCAAGUCGAACGAUGAAGCGGUGCUUGCACCGUGGAUUAGUGGCGAACGGGUGAGUAAUACGUGAGUGACCUACCUUUGACUCUGGGAUAAGCCUGGGAAACUGGGUCUAAUACCGGAUACGACCAAUCCCUGCAUGGGGUGUUGGUGGAAAGCGUUAUGGAGUGGUUUUAGAUGGGCUCACGGCCUAUCAGCUUGUUGGUGAGGUAAUGGCUUACCAAGGCGACGACGGGUAGCCGGCCUGAGAGGGUGACCGGCCACACUGGGACUGAGACACGGCCCAGACUCCUACGGGAGGCAGCAGUGGGGAAUAUUGCACAAUGGGCGCAAGCCUGAUGCAGCGACGCCGCGUGAGGGAUGACGGCCUUCGGGUUGUAAACCUCUGUUAGCAUCGAAGAAGCGAAAGUGACGGUAGGUGCAGAGAAAGCGCCGGCUAACUACGUG
rnacentral:rRNA from 1 species